CAUGGACUUUGAAACAGAACAUGGGCACCUUUCUGACAACUUUAUUUCAAGGUGGGAGUCGUUCUACCGAGACCGUAUCAUAAAAUUAGGUUUGAGCGGGUAUCCAGUGGUAAAAGAAUCAAUUCAACAGUUUGAGGAAGGUGACAACAGAGACCUGUGUAGUUGCACUGCCGCUGAUGUUACAUAAGCCACUGACAAACACCAAGAACCCCACCUCGAGUUCAAGAGCAUCGAGUUUGGAGCACUUCAUCCAAAACAGACCUAUUGGGACAGACGUUCAAGCGGCAGCAGCAGGGAAGUCUACUGAGUUUCGGCAGCCCUAUAUUCUAGCCCUUGCCUGGACACAGACGCAAUCCACUACAAUAUUUCUUAAUUGCAGACAAGGUAGUGAUUGAAGCGGAACAGAAUGUGGUGGAGUCCAUUUUGCCCAAGUAAUUCAAAAUUUCUGGGAGUUCAUGGCAUCUGAAGUGUACAGUGUAAUACAGGCAUCUGAUACU